AGACUGAAAUGAAGUAGUCUCUCCAACUGGAUGUUACCCCAAAAGUCCAUUCAGACCUGGACUUUCCAGAUGACCGUUGGACUGGAUUUUAAGGAAACUCGCACAGCUGAAAGUCCACUUCAGUAGACGCCCAGGUGUGAAGUUUCUGGCCCUUCAAAAGAACAAUAGGCUCAUGGAGAAGUCUCCAUCAAAAGACUGGCAGGACCAAUAAUCCAGACCAUGUAAUAUAAAACGAUUCCCUUGCAAGAAGAGACACACCGACCAACUUUGGAAGGAAGGAAAGAAAGAAAAAUGUAGUCUGCUGGUCAGCAACUAGGGGUGUUUUUUGCCUCCCCAGCCACAGACGGACUCAGAAGCUGGCUAAAGCUACUGACCCACAGAAGCACCUCACUUCUGACUGCCCCUUUUCCUCUCUUCCAUAGAAGUUAAUGGCUACCGUUCAUUCCUAUGUGCAGGGGAAAAAACUGCACUUGAGGUGGGGGGGCACUUGCUGUGGAGUAAUAAAAUCUGCCUCCCAUCCCAUAGACCGGGCUCCCCACCGUGAGGGACCCCAUGAAGGGGUGCCAUGCUGUGUUUCUGUGAGGAGUCUAGAGAUUCAUUCGUUGCCCAUCAGGAGUCUCCGCAAUAUACAGCCUGGCUCU